rnacentral:lncRNA from 1 species
UUUUUUUUUUUUUUUUUUUUACACUCAGGAUAAUUUGUGACUUCAUUGUCAGGACUUCAGUGUUAAAACCUCUUGAACUCUAUUCUCUUGAGAAUCACACUUUUGAUUCCUUUCUCUGAAUUUUGAAGCAUGCUUUGUAGGGGUCUGGGGAGUGUGUGUGUCUGAUUGUUGCCCCCCAUCCUCCCCUUCCUUAGAUACUGUGAACUCUAGAACUUCGUAGUGGCUUCCGCCAGGGGUUCUGGUCUCUCCCCACCAACUGGUUCUUUUUUUGUUGGUCAGAAUUAUGUCUGAAGCAGCCUCUGCCAGUGGGUUUCCAUUGCUUCUGAGCCCAGACAUCAACUGGGCAAGUCAGGAGCUCCUCAGAGCCGAGCAAGGCACCAAGCAAGUAUCUAGAUGGCAGGAGUACCUGUGGCUGCCUCAUCUGGCCUUUGUACCUAUUUUUUAGCUUCGAUUAGAAAAUGUGGUCCUGGUGGCCUCCUUCUGGCCAAGUGGCCCGGAUCACUGUCCUACCACAAUGCUUGCCUGAGCCAUUCUUUUAUCGUCACCCAAAAGCUAGUUCUACUGCUUGUGACCCUCCACUCCCCAGCUAUAGUCGUGAGUCAGUGCCCCCACCCUGUCCCCAGAAAACACUCAGAGUCUUUGUGCCUCUACAGUCCCCAACCAAGGAACCCAGAGUUCCUCUCUGCCUCAUUUGUAGAAAUUUCCAGUUCUUACAUUUCACCACUCCCAUCUUCAGCAUCACUGUGCAGAGAGAGGUGGUCUUGCUGGUGGAUGUCUUAGAGCUCUUAAAGAGCCAUCAUUGAAAAAUGGCAGCUCCCUUGGCAACAAGAGAACACGAGUAGGUUGGCAUCGUGGUAAAGAUCUCUACUUCAUCCCCUCAUUGCCAUCGUCAGAGAUCAAAAAGGGGCAGGCUGUCAGCCUAUAAGGAGGGAGGAAGGAACCCAGGCUCAUCCUCACAAGGCUAAUGUGAGGCCCAUUGCAGCCCAUUACAAAGCUCAUGGAUAUCUACUUUCUCAUCUGCUUUUAAGAACUGAAGGAGUUAGCCCAAAUAGGAUUAUUAUCGCCACUUCAUAGGUAAGGAGACUGAGGCUCGAAAUUUAAAUGACUUACCCAAGGUCACACACCAAUAAGUAAGGGUAGAGCUGGAAUUUGAACACAGGCGUUUUAAUUCCAAACUCCCAUGCUCUAUCCACCUUCUACAUCGAAAACAAGGGAGCAAAUGGAGUGCACUCCUCUUGGGGACUAUGGGAUGCUAGAUGGUAACAAUCAGGCACAAAUGACAGAGGAUAAAAAGGAGACGCUCUUACUGGUGCCGGCAAGGAUUAAAGGAAUGGAUGUGUGGUGGGCAGGAGCAAGAGUCCCAGGAGUCAUAGGAGUGGGGGUCACUGAGCAGAGGAGCCUCAGCAGAGAGAGUGGGCUGCGGCAAGUCCUAGUUCCAGAGCCCAAUGGCCACCGGCCACCACUUGGUGAAGUCCCAAUUCUCGCAGCUGAAGCCAGGCACAGUCAUUUGACUCCAGCUCCUGCCCUCUAAUGGCUUCAAUGUCAUUAUCUCCAUUCACAUCACAGUGAGGGGUGCAAGGGAACUAGCGCUCUAGUGUCCUCACUCAGGGCUGGGCUGGACUGAGCCAUCCGAAGAGGAGGGCCAUCCACCUCAGGGCCCUCCACUAGAGUCAGUGCUUCAAAGAUGGACUUGGAGAGCCCAUGGGCCUCUUUGAUUUGCUGACAAAUUUUUCUGUGUAUAUGAUUGUAAAGGUUUCUGCAGAGAGGCAACUUGGAUUUAAUAAGACUCUGAAAUGGGUCCGAAACUCCGAAAAAUCAAGAAUCACCACAUUAGAAGGUCCAAGAGACACAUUCACAAGUACAAAGCCAGUUGGGAGUUGCCACGGGAAACAGAGACCCCCACUAGUGUGAGAGUCUGUUCGGGAGGAUCUGAUUGAUGACACCCAUCAUCUCUGCACCUAAAUGGGAUUCAGACUUACACGUAAAGAUAUUUCCUUGAAAAUGAGGAAAAUGAAUUCCCAGUAUUUUCAUUUGCAAAGCAAGGGCUUCUGUGUCUGCCCCUAACUUUCAAUUAACUUCAGGCUUCAGCUCAUCAAAACUGGCAAGCUUCCUGGAACUCUGCAGCAUCCCCAUGUCAACUCUGUGGGUUCCCCAACCCUAAGAGCCACAUUAGAGAUCCACAACAUCUCUCUGGCUACUGCAUGCCCUGGGCUGGCACAGGAUCCCCAAGUGCCUUGGGAAGACCAGUCUCCCAAGCCUUUUUCCUCUUUAAUCUUAGGUAGAUUAGAAUCAACCAUCCUGUUCUAAAUCUCCUCUAGUUCCCCCUCCACAGUUCAUCAAGUUCUCUGACCACCUCUUCCCACCCUGUGUGUACACACACCAGCUGUGUGCACACGUGCAUAUGUGUGUGCUUGCACAAACACACACAACUUUGUAAAUGUCAUUUGCAGCUCUGCUCCCAUCCCCCAUUCUACACACCAUCUGCUAGAAGCUAUUUUAAGCACCUAAUAAAACUGUUUUAGAGUGAAUCCUAUGGUAGUCUGCCCUUUGCUUCCCUAGGGCAAGAGCAGUUGGGCUCCAGAUGGAGCUACAUAUUGACAGUGAAGAGAAGGAGAAAGAAUCACCCCAGGUCUAGCAGGAGAACCCAGUCACCUCCCCACAAGCAGUGUGCUGUGUCUUGGCUUUGACCCUAGAGGACCACACAUAAAAGGGGCGACAUCCAGGUCUGGACAGAGGAAUACGGAUGGAUUCAAAUCCCUGCUGUGAUCCUUACUAGUGACUGUGCCUGUGCCUGUCCCCCUCAUCUGUGCAUGAGGGCGGCUAAGCCCUAACUCUGGUCCUCACAGACAACCAGGAGCUCACAUCACAACCACCUGGAGGGUGGUCAAGCCCCAGAUUGCUGGGCCUAACCCCAGAGGCUCAGCCCCGUGAGUCUGGAGUGCAGCUCGAAAAUCUGCAUUUCUAACACAGGUUCCCAAGGUGGUGCUGAGGAUUCAGGACCAUGCUCUAAGAAGCUAUGGCCUGACUCAUGAGGUGUUGUGAGAAUUAAUGAGAAAAUACAUGUAAAGCACCUGGCACUUAGCAACGUAGUGGUUCUCAGCCUUAGCUGCGCAUUAGAAUCACCUGGGGAGCUUUAAAAACUGAAGCCCAACUCCACAGACCAAUUAAACUGGAGUCCCUGGGGGUGAGAUACAGCCAUUGCUACCUUUUUUGAAAGCUCCCUGGGUGACUUAAAUGGACAGUCAAGGUUGAGAGUCACCGUACUAAGAGCUCAAUACAUUCAAAAUCACCUUUAUGCCUGUGCCAGCUGCCCCUCUUUUCAGGGCCUCUCUCCUUUCGGGGGUGCAGCUGCCCGCUCUGGUUUCCACAGGAAGGACUAUGGGGAAAUCACCUUUCCUUUGGCUUCUAGAGGGGCCAGGAGCUGAGGCCCAUUGGGACGAUGAGGACUGGUUCCCACACUCAACGAACCCAGGCAGGCACUUGCUCAAUCAUCAGCUAAGGUGCUUUGGCGGUAUUUACGCUGUGCUUGGGGGGACACGGACGAAUAAAAGCCAGCCCUGUCCUCGGGAGUUGCUACCGUGAUACAAAAGACAGAGACUAAUGGGCUCUCGGAUCUGGAAGGGUCCUCCAGCCCUACGGCUCACAGCUCACUGUACAGAAGCUCGCUCUACGGCUGCCUCCUCAUCUCAUCCCCGCUGCAAUACUUUAAGUGACAGAGAGCUCAUCACCUCAUAAGGCAGCCCAUCGGUUUAGCAAUGCUACUUGUUUAAAAGUUCUUGCUUAGGGAUCCCUGGGUGGCGCAGCGGUUUGGCGCCUGCCUUUGGCCCAGGGCGCGAUCCUGGAGACCCGGGAUUGAAUCCCACGUCGGGCUCCCGGUGCAUGGAGCCUGCUUCUCUCUCUGCCUCUCUCUCUCUCUUCCUGUGUGACUAUCAUAAAUAAAUUAAAAAAAA